GAAAGUUUCUCUGAAGUUUGUGUUAACUCUUUAACAUCAACUCUUACACGCAACUUAGUGUCCGAUUCCGGCAAUAGAUUUACGCAAAGUUUCUCUUCUAACUUGACGUUAACUUUCGAUCAGGUGUGCUAUCUGGGAUAAAUUUUAUUACGUCAAUAUAAUCUAUUUUAUCAUUUUUAACAAAUGAUUUAAUAGACUCUAUUUGGUUGACAUUAAUAUUUCUCUCUCUAAGAUAAUAAAAUCAUAUGGUAGAGUUAAGAAAAUAUUUAUUUAAUGGACAACUAAACUAUUUUGUGGUGCCAACAAAUCCAAUUAUUAGAGCAAAAUAUUAUUAUAUUGACUCUAAUAAAUAUUAAUUAGACACAAAAAAAUAUAUUCGUUUAGAAUAAAUAGAUAUAUUUGUUUGAGGUUAAUAAAUAUAUAUUUGAACCUAAUGAUUAUUGAUUUAAAAGUUAUAGUGUUAGGCAGCAGCAGCUGGAGUAGUUCGGUGCUCGCCACUAGAUCGCGCCCACCAUUUAUGGUGUCCCUGAAUACUCUUGAUGUCAUUUAUUUUCCAAUAGCAAAAACUAUGAAGUUUAAUGUAACUAAAACUUAUUCUGCAAAUUUAUUAUAUGUAAAACGAAUUGAUGAUAUUGGUGAUAAUCCAGCACAAAGUGAAUCUCUCUUCUCGGAUCUUUGCAAUCAUUUUAAAUUGAAAAUCAAAAACACGAUAAAAAGAUUUCGUACAGAUUUAUAUUUUGCUUGGAAAAACGAUCUCAAUAGUUUGAGAACAAAAAUUAUUAAACAAUUGAAAUCAAACCAAGAUAACUCAGUGAAAGCUUCUGAAAAUUCUUAGCCGAAUGCUCCAUUAUCAAGCACUGAACAAGAUUUAACUGAUGCUAGUGAUGCCAAUAAUAAUACGGGAGAAUUGAUUCGGCAGUUAAGCCGUCAGUUCAGUAACUCAUCGAAAUCUUCUGAAGAAACAAUAGAUAAAACUACUAGUGAUGAUGGUACAACUAAAAUAAAAAAUAAUUACAAUUAUAUUGGCACAUUAGUUGUUCCUUCCACUAAAGUUGUGCACGAUGAAUCGAUAAUUUCCGAUCUAGUUCAUCAACAUUUACGCGAGUCAUUACCAAAGAAGUUUGAUAUCAAUUGUUCCAUUAUUUUUACUGGCUUCAAGUCAUGUCAAGAUAACCAUUUUCGUGAUUACACACAAAAAAAGGAAUUCUUGGGUCAAGAAGAAAAUCGUUUCCAAAAAUAAAUUCUUAAAUUAAAAUAUCCUCUUUUCUUGUUUGAAAAAAUUUUCUCUUGUUUCUCCGAACAAGAAAACAACUUGGUUGGCUCAAGAAAAUUUAGCUCUUGGUUUUAGAAGAUACCAACUCAUUCUAAAAACAUCGUUCUCUCGAAUGUAGUCGAUAUCGAUUCAUUUCGAUACAUCGAGUUUUUAAACGGAGGCACAUUUAACUUACUCCAAGUAAAAAUUAAUUUAUUUAAAGAUUUGAUAACAUUUAGUUCAAAAUAAAUGUAGACUUUAUCUGAAAACAAUUAAUUUUAGAUUAAAAAAAUAAAAAACUCAUUUUAAAACUAAAUUAUACAUUAACGUAAAAUAAAAAAUACUUUUAUUUUAAAAUACAAUAAUUCAGUUCAAUUUUAAAUUAAUUGUUUUUAUUAAAAAUUCAAUUUUCAGAGUAUAUACAAUUAAUCAUCAAAAUAUAUUUUGAUUCUUUAUUACAAUAAAAAUUUUUUUUUUGUUACAAAAAUAAAUGAAAGGUUAGGUUAUUUAUCCUGGCUCCAUCGACAGCAUCAACUGCAUGAUAUAUACCACACUAAAAAGGAAACAAUUUUAUAUAAAUUUAGGAUCAGAAAUGAUAACAAACUUGAGUAUCUGAUAUGAUUAAAAACAGCAUAAAUAAUAAUUAACUUACUUUUUUGUGAUUGAAACGACACCAUUUAACUUAACGUGAAUCAGGAAAAACACCAGAUAUAAUGACUAAUAACUACAAUAACUUACAUUUUUACCGAACACUUCAAUUCAAAACAAUUUAUGUAUAUGAAUUAGUUAAUUGUAUAAUUAAUAAACUAAUACUAUUAGAAUAUUGGUGUGUAAUAUACAUAUAAUUGCACAUAUGCGGCGCCAGCGCUGAACAGACUCGUUUCAUUUUUUUGGGAUCUUCGGGCGUCUACGUGCAUACACAAAGUAGUGUCCGAAGUAGAGAAGCUGCAUAGACUCGAGUGCUC